rnacentral:rRNA from 1 species
UACGUAGGUGGCAAGCGUUGUCCGGAUUUACUGGGCGUAAAGAGCGCGCAGGCGGUCGUUCAAGUCGCGUGUGAAAGCCCCCGGCUCAACUGGGGAGGGUCACGCGAUACUGAUCGACUCGAAGGCAGGAGAGGGUAGUGGAAUUCCCGGUGUAGUGGUGAAAUGCGUAGAUAUCGGGAGGAACACCAGUGGCGAAGGCGGGUUGCUGGGCUGACACUGACGCUGAUGUGCGAAAGCCAGGGGAGCGAACGGG